GGAUCUAAUCAUCUUAGGAACAAAACGAGGUUGGCGCCCCUCCAGUUGCGUUGUACAUCGCUUGUUUCACAACUCUAACAAGGCGCUGAAACUGUCCAUUCCAUCAUGGUGCCUGAGACGGGAUUGGGACUAGGUGGGCUUCCGAGAGAUUUGUUUCAAUGACAAGAACAACUGUCACAAAAGAUUUCUAGUUACUGUUUCGUUUACCGCAGAUGAUUUCAACGCAGCGAAAUACCUCUUGACGGUUUAAAUUGGAUGAUUGUGUAUUAAAUAACAUUUGCAUUUCCAAAAAUACUUGCUGACUAAAGGAUGAAUAAAAAAAGAAAGAAGUCCAUGUUUGACUAUACUUUUGAUGUUCUGGAUAAGUGACAAACUGAGAAAAUCUGUAUCUAAACAAAUCACUAGUUGGACGCUGAAAAGUCGAUUUAUUUGCCUCAACUCCUCAAGGUAAUUUUGCCUUUAAAAUAGAAUACGUUCCACUGGCAAGGAAAGUAGUGACAUAAAAAAGCAGAUCAUGGUGUUUUGAGCCAAACAUUUAAGAGCACCAAAAUGCACUAUGGAAAAAAAUUACGAAAAAUCUUGUAAGGUAACUAAGUACUUAAACUUUUCAACAUUUAAUUGCUGCUUUUACAUAUUUUCUGUAUUCCUUUUCAAUCUAAAACUACUAAUCCUGGGUGUUUAAGCUAAGCAGAAAGUGAUAUUACGCAUUAUAAAACCAACCAUAUUUUUUAUAAAGUUUUUAAUACGUACAUGUUUUGGUAUACUUAUGCUAAAUUUAUUGCAGAAUGAAUGAAAUAGUAGAAUACAGGUUGAUUUAUAAUAGUA